rnacentral:lncRNA from 1 species
CACACUCUUUGAUUAAAAGGAUAACCAACCUAUAUGACACACAAUGAUCUAUACUCGAUAUUGUUAUCGUCCUAUUAAUAGCAUAUCAUUUGAUCGUGAAUAUGUUUUAAAGACUAAACGAUAAAUUUUUCUUUAUUGAUUAAAUAUAGUCCUAAGGACUUCAUCACUAUACAGGAGUUCAAGUAAGAUGGAUAAAAUAUGUUGAAAAAGUCAAAUAAUUUUUAUUAAUAAUAAUUUAUAUACAAUUUACAAAUAUGAGCACAAUUAUCAACAAGCUGACGAUUGACUUUGGGAUGUAAUUCUCAAUAAUAGAGUCGUUAUGCUACCCCAGAGCAUCAGAUGUUAAUAGAGUGGUUGUGCCUCUCCGAUGCAGCUGAACUACUGUAAUCAGUCGAGAAUGAUCAACGUCAGGAAAGGCACUUGCAUCUCUACAAUGGUGGAAGGUCGCUAGACUUAAUAUUCAAUUAUGGACAUUUAAUUUAGGUCUCAUCUACUUAGUCACAUAUAUUAAAUAUAAUAACUAAACUGGUUUAGAUCAACCCAUCUCAUGUCUAACCCACCUAGCUAGCAUGGGUGAACAUGAAUCACUAAUCAACCAGACUCAAUCCAUAAUCUACCAAAUGGCCAGAUAAGUGAGAUCAGUGGGAGAGA